UGUGAGGGAAAUUAUGACAUACAAUUAAAUUAUAUGCUUAUAUCAAACAUAUACUAUUUUUCAUAUUAAUGGAUAGAACUUAUUAAUACAAAAUAAAGUGGAUAAACAUCUUCUACCAAAAAAAAAAAAAAUAGAUAAACAUCUUUAAUAGCCACCGACAAAUUGACUUGAUACGAAUGUUGAUUCGUACAUGUUCCUGUUACAAGCGCCUAACACAUACAACGAAGGAUGGUUUAAUCAAAUCAUGUCAAGGUAUAUUAGUAGUAGAAAAAAUAUUUAAAUUUAGUCGUAUAUUCACACUUAGUAAAAUAUUGAACAUAUUGCACAUUUAAAUAGUUCAAAAGACACUAACACAUAUACAUAGCACCAAUAUGGUUAAGGAGACAUAAACAUAUCAAAAUGUACACUAAUAUACUUCAGGCUUAAUGAUGUGUUUCGUCCUUACAAUUAGGCGUCAUUUAAAAAUUAGUCUCUGUAAUCGCUAAUCCUGGCAAUUUACCCUUGCAUUGUUUAAUCAUUUAAAAUUUCGUCCUUUGACCAACUUAAUCACUACCAAAUCAUCAAAUUAGCAAAAUGACAUGGGAAUGGACAAAAAUACCAUCGUUUUUAUUAUGAUGAAUGAUAAUAUUUCACUCCUUAGUUAGAGAAAGUUCAUAGAUAUGGUCGGGAAUAAUCACAUAUCACAAUUGUUCAUAUCAAAACAACACAAGAUAAUAUUUCAAGCAUUGCCAAGUUUUUUUUAUGAAGACUAUUUUUUUAGACAUUAAUGUUUACGCUAUACACCAUACCAAUUUAUCAUAGCUUAACACACAAUUAUAAAUCGACAUAGGAGGGUCUUAUGUUUGUUUAUUUUCUCGUCCUCCAUUGGUUAAGAAAAAAAAAAGAUUAAUUAAAGGGUUCAAGAUUCAAAUAGACUUACGAGCACGCACAAAAAUAAGUGAAACACUUCAUAACCCAACCAAGGGGACAAUUAUGAAAUAGACAUUCACUACUGUAGUUGCACGUCUUAUCUGUAUAGUAUAGUAAGAUAAUAAUAAAUGAAUGUUACUUCCUUCAAAAAUAAAAAAUAAAAUGAAUAUUACUUAAAUGUAAUGAAAUAUUAUGUAUAACAUAAAGAAGAAAAUGCGAAAAUAAUGCAAGAAUUACUUCGGCCAUUGGUUACAACAAGAAAAAGAGAAAAAAAGA
rnacentral:lncRNA from 1 species